rnacentral:lncRNA from 1 species
UUUAUACCACUAUUCCACAUACUAAACUUAAAGCUCGACUGAAAGAACUCGUCAGCUUAUGUUUCUUUAACAAAAAGGGCACUAGACGUUUUAAAUAUCUAGUUUUGGGCUGGAAUUCAGCUUACUUUGUGAAAAAUCAUACAGAGUCAAUGAAAAAAUAUACCGACGAGGAUAACACUGCCAUGCUGGACUUUUUAAUUGACAACAUAUUUGUUGAAUUUGGAGGUUUGGUCUUCCAACAGACUAUUGAAAUCCCAAUGGGUACCAAUUGCGCUCCUCUUCUUGCAGAUUUGUUUUUAUAUUCCUAUGAAACAGAAUUUAACCAAGGGCUUGUACAGAAAGGAGAAAAGAAAUUAGCCCAGUCUUUUAAUUUCACCUUUCGGUAUAUUGAUGAUGUACUGUCUCUUAAUAAUAAUAGAUUCAG